GUCGCAUAGUCGUGCCCUUCGCUCCGAGCUGCGAUUUUCUCAAACGUUUCUUCACAGUAAGCUCGCCGAGUACAGCCAGGACGAUGCACAGUCGCAGCGCACGGAAGAAGAUGGAGCGGGAGGAAAAGAAGGUGCAUGCUGCGUUGGCCGCGGUCCCUUCAGGGCGGUCGCACAUUACCCGUGCCUCGACGGACGCAUGAGAGGUCAUCGACGUCGCCGAAGUUGCCCAAGUCGCUGGAGUCAGCGACUAGUCGCGACAACAAGGCGGGCGCCAAGCCAGG